CAUUCCUGUGAUUUCUAGUUAUACUUCCUGCAGUGGAUUCCAUGACAUUUCCCCUUGUUAUAUAAUAUACCCCAUUUUUUGGGUUAAAUUUCUCUAUUAGUCAACAUUCAAUCAAUUCUAUGUGACAGAAGCUCAAAUCAAAUUAGCUUAAACAAGAAAAGGGGGAUUUCUGGGCUUACAUCAUUGGAAAACUCAAGGACUGAAUCCAGAUGAAAUUGAGGUUCAGAGAGGUUAGGUAACUCUCCUGUGAUCACACAGCUGAUACUUCUCCCAGAGCUAGGCCAUCUGGAAGAAGGACUCUUGAAUUGAACUACUGCACCAUUUUGCCUCUUAAGGAAGAGAGAUGUAAAAAGGCAGAUGAAGAAAAGAGCCAGGACGAGGCUGGAGAACUGCGGGAGCUGAAAGCAGAUGAUUCUGAGGCCCUAGGGGAGGGUGCAGCCACGAGAAGGAGGGAGGCUGGAUCCCUGAAUCACCAUGUGGAAGGUCCAGCCACCAGCCAGGAACACCCGCCACGUGAACAAGAAGGAAACUCCACUGUGUCACUGAGACUGGGGGCGUGUUACAGCAGCUGGGGCUCACUAACGGCAUCGGAAAAUGGGUGCUGAACCAAGUCGGUCUACGAGCCUGGACACAGCAUUGCCCUGUCCUAGUCCUCAGAUUCUUUGGCUAUGUGACAUGGGAAGCUCCGAGAGACCCUUCCUUCUGGGGGAAAGGAACAUUUUAGCUGUACACACACGCGCACUCACGCAUAAACGCACGCUCCUGCACUGGGCGCUGUUUCUGUAAGAACAGGCCUGGAAUGCCUUUCUGGAUACUGUUUCUCCCAAGCACCCAAAUGAGGACAGCGUUCCGGAACUUGUUUCUAACAGACGUCAGUAUAACAAAAACACACGCUACAGACCAAUAAAAAUGUGAUGACCAACUCCAGUGAUAAAAUGUGUUUGUUUAUAUGUAUUUUUAUAGCUUCCUUGAUAAUAAAAGGAAUUGUGUUCGAA
rnacentral:lncRNA from 1 species